rnacentral:rRNA from 1 species
CCUACGGGAGGCAGCAGUGGGGAAUAUUGGACAAUGGGCGAAAGCCUGAUCCAGCAAUGCCGCGUGAGUGAUGAAGGCCUUAGGGUUGUAAAGCUCUUUUACCCGGGAUGAUAAUGACAGUACCGGGAGAAUAAGCUCCGGCUAACUCCGUGCCAGCAGCCGCGGUAAUACGGAGGGAGCUAGCGUUAUUCGGAAUUACUGGGCGUAAAGCGCACGUAGGCGGCUUUGUAAGUAGAGGUGAAAGCCUGGUGCUCAACACCAGAACUGCCUUUUAGACUGCAUCGCUUGAAUCCAGGAGAGGUGAGUGGAAUUCCGAGUGUAGAGGUGAAAUUCGUAGAUAUUCGGAAGAACACCAGUGGCGAAGGCGGCUCACUGGACUGGUAUUGACGCUGAGGUGCGAAAGCGUGGGGAGUAAACAGGAUUAGAUACCCUGGUAGUCCACGCCGUAAACGAUGAUAACUAGCUGUCGGGGCUCUUAGAGCUUCGGUGCGCNGCUACGCAUAAGUUAUCCGCCGUGGGAGGUACGGCCGCGAACGGUUAAACGUAACGUAAGGUAAGUAGUUAGGCGUGAGACGUGCCGACGGACGACGACGAGGGAGGAGG